UUUGUUUUUUUGUUUUGUUUUGUUUUGUUUUUUUAGUAGAGACAGGGUUUCCCUACAUUGGCUGUGCUAGUCUCAAACUUCUGACUUCAAGUGAUCCGCCCACCUCAGCCUCCCAAAAUGCUAGGAGUAGAGGCAUGAGCCACCAUGCCCGGCCCUAAACUACAAUUUCUAAUCUUAUGGCUAACUUGUCAGUCCUACAAAGGCAGUCUAGUCCCCAGGCAAGAAGGGGGUUUUGGGCAAGGGCUAUUUUUGUCUUUGUUUUAAACCAUAAACUAAGUUCCUCCCAAAGUCAGUUCAGCCUAUACCCUGGAAUGAACAAGGACAGCUUGGAGGUUAGAAGCAAGAUGGAGUUGGUUAGGUCAAAUCUCUUUCUCUGUCUCAGUUAUUUCAGUAUUAAGACAAAGGUGGUUUCAGUAUUAAGACAAAGGAGGUUACUGAGGGCCAUGUGUAUUCAGGACACUACACUAGAUCUUUUAAUGUAGUAUUUCACUUCAUCCUCACAAUAAAAAUCUGUGAGGUCAAGGCUAGUGCCCCCAUUUUACAAAUGAAAAACAUGAGAAUCAGAUGGGUGAAAUAAUUUGUCCAAGAUCACAUAGGUAGAAACUAAAAGACUGGAGAUUUGGACUGUGCUGUCCACUCCACAAUCCCAUUGCAAUUGUAGGUCUUCCUCAAAGUUCUGAAAUCUGAGAGCCUCAAAGGCAGUGACUGCCAGGGUCUGGCACAUAGGUGAACUUAAUCAAUAACUAGUCAAUAAGUCUGUCUGGUUUUCAAUGCCCACCACCAUGCCACCUCCCUACCAGCUUUAUAUAUGUGCAACUCUGCCUUAAAUUUACUUUCUAUCCUAACAAGUUCUUGAUACAUUGAUUCUCAGUACACAUUUUCUUAAAAUUCAAAGUUUUCUGUCCUCUUAUCCUUCUGACCCUUGGGAAAGGCCACUCAUUUCCCUGCUCAGACAGCUGGUUUGGGAAAGUUGCAGGCAGCAAAAGGGAACAGCUUGCCCACUGAACCGCCAUGCAGGAACGGGAGCUACAUUUGGAAUUCACAGACCAGAAAAAAUGUCCAGCCUGCUUACAAAGCAUUGGUAGAGGCUCAAAGGAAAACAGAUACAACAUAAUCCUUUUCUUUUGCUAAAUGACAUCCUCAUUUACAUUCUCACCAUAUUAAUUCUCUUUGUUUCAACUUAACUAAAGUCAAAGAAGGCUUAUCAGGAAGUGUUAUUCACAUGUAUUAGCCGAAAAUGACAAAAUGUUCUAAUUCCAUUCGUGGAUAAAAGUCAAUUUGACACCAACACUAAGCUGUUAUUUUUCAAAUAACAAUGGUAGUGUUUAAUUAGAAUUUAACCUGGCUGCUUGCUUUCACUUAACAAUGUACCAUACACUGGUGGUUUCCCGACGAAAGCAAAGAUUGACGUCCAAUGUAAAUGCUGCAUUUCAAAAAAAGCUGCACACUAGUAGUGUCUAAUCAUGCAUAACACUCUGCUAUUAAUUACUAAUAUUCCAAUUGGCUUGAAGGGUCAGCUGGUCUUUAGUCCUUCCUGUUACGAUCACCGGUUAGCUUAAGUCUUUGUCAGAUUAUCACAGUUGCUUUUAGUGAUUACUUCUAUAAAGCGAGCCUACAAAAACCUUCCUAAAUGAUUAAUUAUAUUUCUUGAUCUGUUUUAACUAAAAAAGAUAAUAGAAGAAAGCAUCUAGCAUCAUGCCCAACACAUAGUAUUUGCUUAAUAAAUAGUGGCUGUUAACAUAGUAAAUAAUCGGCUGGGCGCAGUGGCUCAUGUCUAUAAUCCCAGCACUUUGAGAGGCCAAGGUGGGUGGAUCAUCUGAGGUCAAGAGUUUGAGACCAGCCUGGCCAACAUGGUGAAACCGUGUCUGUACUAAAAAUACAAAAAUUAGCCAGGCAUGGAGAUGGGCGCCUGUAAUCCCAGCUACUCGGGAGGCUGAGGCAGGAGAAUUGCUUGAACCCGGGAGGCGGAGGUUGCAGUGAGUCAAGAUCGCACCAUUGCACUCCAGCUUGGGCAACAAAAGCAAAACUCUGUGGGGAAAAAAAAAAAAAAAAAGGUAAAUAUUCAUACUUUUCUAUUUGAUCAUUCAUUUCCAGAGUCCCAAGCUACGUACUGAUGUGGUAAGUUUUCUUUCCUCUCUUGGAUUCCUGCAGUCGAUCAUCUCUAAUAUCCACUCACUCCAUUCAUGCAUGCCACUCACACAGUCACAGAGCACUUGUUCUGUGCCAGGCACACAUUUUCUCUAGAUACUGAUUCCCAGGGAAACCUCCCUCUUGGAGAUCCCCAGUGCAUAUAUUAGAGGCUCUGAUAAGUUUUAUCUAUCUAUAGAUGGAUGGAUGGAUGGAUGGAUGGAUGGAUGGAUGGAUGGACAGACGGACGGACAGACGGACAGACAGACAGACAGACAGACAGACAGAUAGAUAGAUAGAUAGAUAUGACAAAUAGAGGAUGGAUAGAUAGAUGAUAGAUGACUAGAUAGAUAGAUAGAUAGAUAGAUAGAUAGAUAAUGGAUUAACUUUCAAUAUUUUCGUUACUUAUUUACCAUGGACACCUAUUAACAUCCCAGCACAAUGGUGUUCUAAGGAACACACUUUGGGAACAGUGCAGGACCACACCUGACACACUGUAGCACACUCCUGACCAAGAUUCUGUCCUUGACCAAACUCUAGCCAAGGCCCUCUGAGCCCUUUCUCUACUAGGCCUCAAGCUUGGCCUAGAAAGACUUGGGCAAACACUAACAUAGUUUCUAACAUAUCCCUAGGACAACUCCAGCUUCCUUAAAGUGCCUGCCUGAGAAAACUCUAGUUGCCAAAAGAAUGUACUGUUUGUUCCAGCAACACCUGAGGACAGGGCCUGUCUCCCAGUCUCUGUGGGAGGGUAGAAGCCUACCUUCAAUAAGAGCCAGGCAACAAACCCAGAUGGUUUUCACAUGGACCAACCUCUUCUUCCCACUUUUUGUAAUUUGUCAUUUCUCUGGCUCAACUGAGCCCCCAGUCACCCCCUCCCUACUCCAGUCUCCCUUUAAAAUGCCUGGUCACCUCCGUACAAAUCAAAAUUGAGUGUAUACCUGACCUUCUUCCCUAUUUCAAUAGUACACAGUAGUUAACCCCUUUCUGAGGUUUUAUGCUUUGUGGUUUCAGUUACCGGCAACUGUGAUCUGAAAAUAUAAAAGGAAAAAUUCCAGAAAUAAACAAUUCACAAGUUGUAAAUUCCAUGUCUGUUUUGGGUAUCAUGAUGAAAUCUCAUACCAUCCCACUCUUUCCUGACCUGGAUGUAAAUCAUGUCUUUGUCCAGGGUAUUCACGUUGCCUGUGCCACCCGCCCACUAGUCACUCAGUAGCAAUCUGGGUUAUCAGAUCAAAAAAACAGUAUAUAGGUGAUAUGGUUUGGCUGUGUCCCCACCUAAAUCUCAUCUUGAAUUCCCACAUGUUAUGGGAGGGACCCAGUGGGAGGUAAUUGAGUCAUGGGGGCAGGUCUUUCCUGUACUGUUCUCAUGAUAGUGAAUAAGUCUCAUGAGAUUUGAUGGUUUUAAAAAGGAGAGUUUCCCUACACAAGCUCUUCUCUCUCUUCACCUGCCGCUAUCCAUUGAAGACAUGACUUGCUCCUCCUUGCCUUCUGCCAUGAUUGUGAGACCUUCCCAGCCACAUAGAACGGUAAGUCCAUUAAACCUCUUUCCUUUGUAAAUUGCCCAGCCUCUGGUAUGUCAUUAUCAGCAGCAUGAAAACUUAAUACAAUAGGGUUUGGUACUAUCUGUGGUUUCAGGCAUCCACUGGAGGUCUUGGAAGAUAUCCCCUCAGAUAAGAGAAGACCACUGUAUUAUGAUUAAAAUCUGUUCAUAUCACAUUAACUGGUGUCUGACUUUGUUUAUCUUUGCCACUCCACCUAGUUCUCCACACAUGAAAAGCCUUCAGGGAAGACUCAUUAAAAUUGAUGCAGGAGGAUCUAGUUAAUGCAAUGAGUUCUAGGUGAGAUUUGAGACUAUCCUGUUUCCAAAAAGCAGGAAACAGGUAUGUUUGUCCACGACAACGAAUUCCAGAACUGGCCUUAGAGUCCCACAGAUGUAACUAAAAUCCCAGUUGGUCCAUUGUGAAACCAACUUCUGUGGGUCUCAGAGGUCCCAGUGAGGAUUAACGGAGAUAAUGGUGAGGAAGACCAAAGCCUCCCCUGAGAUAUUUGCAAAUAUUUUACUGUCACAGUUGCUUUUGCCUGUGCCUAGCUACUCAGCCUGUGCAUCACAGUCUGUCCCUUAAGACACAGAUAAGGAAACCAGGCUUUCCUUUAAUAGGAGGGAGCAAGGAGGCAGGGAUAAAAAUUUUAAUCAGUGGGCCAGGCACAGUGGCUCACACCUAUAAUCUCAGCACGUUGGGAGGCUGAGGCAGGAGGAUCGCUUGAGUUCAGGAGUUCAAGACCAGCCUAGGCAACAUAGUGAGACCUCCUCUCUACUAAAAAUCAAGAAAAUUAGCUGGGCGUGGUGAUGCAUACCUGUGGUCCCAGCUACUUAGGUGUACGAGGCAGGAGGAUCACUUGAGACCAGAAGGUCGAGGCUCUAGUUUGCCCCACUGCACUCCAGUCUGGACAACAGAGUAAGACUCUGUCUCAAAAAAAAAAAAAAAUUAACCAGGUUGAGUACGGUGGCUCACACCUAUAAUCCCACCACUUUAGGAGGAUUAGGCCUGCAGAUCACUUGAACUCAGAAGUUUGAGACCAGCCUGGCCAACGUGGUGAAACCUCGUCUCUACUAAAAACACAGAAAUUAGCUGGGCAUGUAGUCCCAGCUACUCAGGAGGCUGAGGCAUGAGAAUUGUUUGAACGCGGGAGGCGGAGGUUGCAGUGAGCCAAGAUCGUGUCACACUGAACUCCAGCCUGGCAACAGAGAGGCUGAGUCUCAGGAAAAAAAAAGAAAAAUUAACCAAUGGAGGUCAGUAAUUUUUUCAACCCAUGCAUGCACAGGCAUACGCAGACACACACACACACACACACACACAGACACACACACAGCAUUUUUAUAGAUUUUUUCCAAGCAUGAGAUGAAACAAAGGAGCAGUUACAUGGCAAGAAUGAAAAUAACUCCAGAUUAAAUAUCAGACACCCUGUUCUGUAAGAGUUCCUCUGCCUCACACCACCUCAGCAAAGCUGUGCAUUCUCCUUUGCUCUCUCCUCACACUUUUAUGUGGAGCCAGUCAGCUCUUUGUGGCCUCAACCCCCGAAUUUGAUUCCAGGUCUACCAGCUCUCCAAAGGACAUUCCCAUAGAAGCCCUCAUUAACAG
rnacentral:lncRNA from 1 species